rnacentral:rRNA from 4 species
CCUGGCGGCACUAGCGCGGUGGUCCCACCUGACCCCAUGCCGAACUCAGAAGUGAAACGCCGUAGCGCCGAUGGUAGUGUGGGGUCUCCCCAUGCGAGAG